AACGAACGCUGGCGGCAGGCUUAACACAUGCAAGUCGAACGCCCUAGCAAUAGGGAGUGGCGCACGGGUGAGUAACGCGUGGGCAUGUACCGUUUAGUGGGGGAUAACCAAGGGAAACUUUGGCUACUACCGCAUACGCCCUUCGGGGGCAAGAUUUAUCGCUAAACGAUCAGCCCGCGUGAGAUUAGGUAGUUGGUGGGGUAACGGACUAUCAAGCCGACGAUCGCUAGCUGGUCUGAGAGGAUGAUCAGCCACACUGGAACUGAGACACGGUCCAGACUCCUACGGGAGGCAGCAGUGGGGAAGAUUGGACAAUGGGGGUAACCCUGAUCCAGCCAUGCCGCGUGAGUGAUGAAGGCCUUAGGGUUGUAAAGCUCUUUUACCGAUGAAGAUAAUGACGGUAGUCGGAGAAAAAGCCCCGGCUAACUUCGUGCCAGCCGCCGCGGUAA
rnacentral:rRNA from 1 species